CACGUAGGCACCAAGCGUUGUCCGGAUUUAUUGGGCGUAAAGAGCUCGUAGGCGGUUGAGUAAGUCGGGUGUGAAAACUCUGGGCUUAACCCAGAGCCGCCACCCGAUACUGCUCUGACUUGAGUUCGGUAGGGGAGCAGGGAAUUCCUAGUGUAGCGGUGAAAUGCGCAGAUAUUAGGAGGAACACCGGUGGCGAAGGCGCUGCUCUGGGCCGAUACUGACGCUGAGGAGCGAAAGCGUGGGGAGCAAACAGG
rnacentral:rRNA from 1 species